AAAAUUUGAAAAUCCGUACCACUCCCAUCUAUUUCAAAAUUUGAAGACUGUACCUCUCCCAUCCAUCUCUCCCAUUUCAAAUACUCCAUCUACUAACUUAUUUUGAAGACUCUAACGGUCCAUCUCUCCGGCGAAACUCGGCACCACCACCACCACCACCGUCGCUGAUUCUCUCCCUCUCUCAAUCCCACUCUCUUUCCCUCUCUAUUCUCACAAUUCCCAAAUUAGGAUGCAUCUCUCUUUCUCCCAAAAAUCUGACUCUCUCAUCUCCGGCGAAACUCGUCUCCAGCAUAUCACCACCGCAACUUCUCUCUCUCACUCACCCUGCUCUGGCCUCCACCUCCUGUCAGGUUGUGCGAAAUUUCUCAUUAAAAUUACCUAGAAACCCUACAUGAAAAAGCGGUGCCUCUAUCUCCCUCCAACGGCACUGCACCCCCCCUCUCCAUCUCCAUCUCCAUCUCCAUCUCCAUCUCCAUCUCCUUCUUUCUCUCUCAAUUGGCGGAAUCGACUCGUGUUUUCCCAACACCAAGAGUCAUAGCCCUCGCAGAUUUCACGCCCCCGGCCUGCUCGCCCGGAGAAGAAAGCCGAGGACGUGGCUGUCUCGGAGUUUGGUCCCCACCGCGGCUGCUACUCGCCAUCAUCAGACGCCGUCGUCUCCUGCAGCAGGUCGCUGGUCCGGAUUCGUGGGCGGCGUUGGGUGGCCCCUGACUCGCGGCCUUGCCGCCGCCGCCAGCUGCGUGAACCCGUCGCCUUCCGCCCUUCCGUCGUGGGUCUUUUCUCCUUUUUCUUCUCAUCUUUCUCCCUAAUUGAAUUGUAAAUUGAAUUGGUUUUGUUGGGGGCGAACUUGUAGUGUGUGAUCAUGCGUGCAAAUUAAGCUAGAAAAAGUGUUUCUUUAAUUGUCUAGACGGAAUACAUGUCACCAUCGACCUCCUCACGGACUCGCCGUCUGAUUUCGUUGCUGCUGAUUCUCGCCGAGCGGUGAGAGGCGCUCCAGGAUCCACUGAGCAGUCGCUUCGGUCGGUGUCAUACUCCAGCCAUCUCGGCUGCAUUGUCAUACUCCAGCCAUCUCGACUUCUCGGCUUAGGGAAGCUUUAGCAACAAUCUUUCUACUCCCUCUGGAGGGUUUGUAUCUGGCUGGUGCUUGUCUAACGUUCUAGUUUGUGAAGAGGAUGCACCAUUAGAUGUACCUCGUUCAUCUUAUGCUCAUCAGAGAACGUCUUUGUUGAUUAAAGUGAUUGCAAACCUUGAUUGCUUAUACCAGGAUGAGAAGGAUUUGUUUCUCAACAUGUUCAUUUGGUUCAUAGAGAAGGACUAUUAGAAACUGUCAGAUGACAAAGUGUCCACAGUUAUGUUCACUGUUAAGUCUUUAGUUCCAGGAUUUUUGAAUGAAGAUGAUGUACAACUGCUGAACUAAUUUGAAUAUAUGCCUUCCUUCCAUGCUGAAAUCGGGUUAUUUGUAAGUCAGUUUGAGUUCCGAAUCGUUCGUGCUGCAUCGGAAGAUCAUUUAGUCCAUGAGCUUGGGAAGAGGUGGACUGCAGGAGCAACUAGCUUCCUAUAUUGGACUCCCGGCCCUGAUGAAAAAAAGAGUAGGGAAUAAGCUUUAGAAAAAGGAAUUUUAAUGCCAGAAAAGGAAGGUAGGAAGAUACAUCGGUAGAGGUUUGCUUUCAGCAUUUUGGUAUGUGAGAAGGUACCAGGUUUGCAGCCGGUAGGAAAUCCGAGCUUUUAUUGUAGUCAUCAAAUCUUGGUCUUUGAGGAUUCUGGUUCUUGCAUUGCUGAAAAAAUGUUUGGUAUAGAUUCAAGAGAGUUAAAUGCUCCCUCCGAGGCAAGUUACCCGAAGGGCCAACUGGAACGUAAUACAAAGCGCUUGGCAGAUGUCGUCUCAGAUGCUUCAAAUUUUCAGUCAUUCAUUAUGAUAAACUUUGGAAGCUUUAGCAACAAUCUUUCUACUCCCUCUGGAGAGUUUGUAUCUGGCUGGUGCUCGUUUAACAUUCUAGUUUGUGAAGAGGAUGCACUAUUAAAGUUCACUGUUAUGUCAUGCAGAGUCUUUAGUUCCAGGAUUUUUGAAUGAAGAUGAUGUACAACUGCUGAGGGAAUAUGCUUCAUAAAAAGGAAUUUUAGUGCCAGAAAAGGAAGGUAGGAAGGUAAGACUGAUCUUGUAAAGAUGACAGGAAAGAUGGUAGUAUAUAUU